CAAUUCUUGUAAGUAGGCAGUAUUUUCCUCAAAUGACGUGGCUGGCUUAUGUACAGUCUGUGCUGGCUGGAGCAUAAAUACCUGUGCACUACCCGUUUGAGCAGGCGAUCUCCUUAUUGUCACUGCUUCAGUGGACAACAUCAAGAAGCUCCUACAACACCUUGAAGAAAAUAACACCAUUAGCAGCUAAAUCACUAUGGUAAUCUGAGGCAGUUCACCGUUGGAGAAAGAUCAAUUCAAUAUUCAUGAAUUUUCAGGGAGUUAUUUCGAUUUUCUGAUUUUGCUUAAACUAAUGUAAAAAGAAAAAUGUAUUGAGUUACACUAAUGUUUAUAUGACUCUUCUCCUCUUCUUUUUGAGUGUCUCUCACUCACCUCUGGCCGAAAGGGAGCGAACAGGCUGUAUGUUGCCUUAUAACAUACAAACAAAAACUGAUUGGUGAUGCCAUCGAUCUAAUCCGUGGGUCAGUGACGCGGCCCAUGGUCAAUGACAAUCAACGAUAGUCGUGGGUCAGUGACGCGGCCCAUGUCAAGAACAGUCAGCUUUCUCUUCUCUUCCGUCUUCUCCUAUAAAUUAUACAUAUGUUUUGUGCACUUAUUGCAAGAAAUUGUAUAUCUAUUCAUAACUUAGGCUACUACCUUGUGUUUGUAAAAUCAAGUAACAUUCUACAAUUUAAUUUAAUUGAUAAGACAUCAAAUGCUUCCUUUAUAUAAGUUAUGUAUGGAAACAUUUGAGGGCGAAAGUCAAUUACUAACUAUUAUGAAUCAUUUCCCCAGAAUUAUGAAGAGACAGAUGGGUUUUCCCCUGCAGCAAAGGACAAUGUGGAUGGAGAUUUUACAGAUCUCAUCAAAAACUUCCACCAUCUGAACAUGUCUGGAGAUGAGAAGAUGGACUGGGCUGAACAGGAAGUGGGAGUGACCUGCUGCCAGGAAGAGGAAAUGGACUGGAUCACCUCAAGAAAUCCCAGCUUCUGCAUCUGGAGAGAAAGAAAAGAUGAGGAAGACAGCCUUUAAAUGAAGACAGCCUUUUAAAAUUCUUCAUUAACUACCCAUCUGUUGGGUGGCUUGGUCAUCAAAACAUUGGCCUAGUUCACACUCCUGUUGUACAACGCAUCUCACACAUCAGCUGUGAUACAAUUUAAGGAUCCUUUCAAUGGGUUUGUCUGCAUGCAAACAAAUUGGCAAUAGUUGUGUAAAAAUCCGUUGUAUCAUCUCAGCGUGAACUAGGCCACUGUAGCCUAAAUAUGGCAUUGGUACAUUCGUAGGGUUUUGUAAAUACUGUACAGUAGGAUAUAUGGUUAUACAAUCUAGAUUGAUAUGUAAAUAUGUUGAGUAUCUAUUUAUUUUCUCACUCAUCUGUCAUUCGUUGGCCUAUUUUAUAUUCUGUGUUCUGAGGGCAAAAAGGGGAGGGGGGGACGACUAAAAUAUUUGGAAUGUGUCCCUAAUGUUUUGUACACAGUGUAUAUAUUACCCCACAACAUUCACUCUUCCCAUUAGUCCUUGGAUUUAUUUUUGUGUAGCUAAUUCUCCUCAAAAAAGUACAUCUGCUGUCUAUUUGUUUGUCAAUAUUCAUGUGUUCAGUGUCUUGUCUCCUUGUCAAAUGAGUGUCUGUCAAUUUAGUUGUAUAUCUGUAUCACAUGAAGUUAUCCUUCAAACAGGGAAAGGGUGGUGCCUAGUGGGGGCGGAGGGGUCAAAUAAAUCAACACAAACUAUGAAGUACUGAUAUUCAAUGAUGUGAAUAAAAUGACUCAGACUGUAAAUUACAUUCUUAUUGGCAUUGA